rnacentral:rRNA from 1 species
UACUAGAGUAGCACUCGCAUAUCAAUAAGCGGAGGAAAAGAAACUAACAAGGAUUCCCCUAGUAACGGCGAGUGAAGCGGGAAGAGCUCAAAUCUGAAAUCUUAAAGGGUUUCCCUUUACGAAUUGUAGUUUAAAGAAGUGUUUUCUGUUGAGGUUUUGGUAAAAGUUCUUUGGAAUAGGACAUCAUAGAGGGUGAGAAUCCCGUAUUUGACCUUUACUUUCAACUUUGUGAUACACUUUCAAAGAGUCGGAUUGUUUGGGAAUGCAGUCCAAAAUGGGUGGUAAAUUUCAUCUAAGGCUAAAUAUUGGCGAGAGACCGAUAGCGAACAAGUACCGUGAGGGAAAGAUGAAAAGAACUUUGAAAAGAGAGUUAAACAGUACGUGAAAUUGUCAAAAGGGAAGCGUUUGACACCAGUGUUGUUUUUCUGAAAAUCAAUUAAAGAACUGUUUAUGCUAAGUUGUUUAGACUUUAUCAGCUAAUCUGUUUAGUUUUGAGCUUUUCUUUAAUGCACUUUUCAGUUAACAAGUCAACAUCAAUUUCUUUUGCUGUAAAAAAGCUUGAGGAAGGUGGCUUGAGAUUCGUCUUAAGUGUUUAUAGCCUCUUGCCUAUGCAGUCGGAGAGAUUGAGGUCUGCAGCGUAGAUCCUUCGGGGCUAAAUGCAUUUGUGCUAAGUUAUAGCAUUUUAUAGACAACUUGUUGACUAUGAUUUGUCUUGUAGCUUACUCGCUUAUGUUAUUUUACCUACGCUUAGGAUGUUGAGCGCAUGUCUCUCUCU